AUUGAACGCUGGCGGCAGGCCUAACACAUGCAAGUCGAGCGGAGAUGAGGUGCUUGCACCUUAUCUUAGCGGCGGACGGGUGAGUAAUGCUUAGGAAUCUGCCUAUUGGUGGGGGACAACAUUCCGAAAGGAAUGCUAAUACCGCAUACGUCCUACGGGAGAAAGCAGGGGAUCUUCGGACCUUGCGCUAAUAGAUGAGCCUAAGUCGGAUUAGCUAGUUGGUGGGGUAAAGGCCUACCAAGGCGACGAUCUGUAGCGGGUCUGAGAGGAUGAUCCGCCACACUGGGACUGAGACACGGCCCAGACUCCUACGGGAGGCAGCAGUGGGGAAUAUUGGACAAUGGGGGGAACCCUGAUCCAGCCAUGCCGCGUGUGUGAAGAAGGCCUUAUGGUUGUAAAGCACUUUAAGCGAGGAGGAGGCUACUGAGACUAAUACUCUUGGAUAGUGGACGUUACUCGCAGAAUAAGCACCGGCUAACUCUGUGCCAGCAGCCGCAGUAAAAC
rnacentral:rRNA from 1 species